GGUUUGAUCCUGGCUCAGAUUGAACGCUGGCGGGAUGCUUUACACAUGCAAGUCGAACGGCAGCACGGACUUCGGUCUGGUGGCGAGUGGCGAACGGGUGAGUAAUGUAUCGGAACGUGCCUAGUAGCGGGGAUAACUACGCGAAAGCGUAGCCAAUACCGCAUACGCCCUUCGGGGGAAAGCGGGGACCUUCGGGCCUCGCACUAUUAGAGCGGCCGAUAUCGGCAUUAGCUAGUUGGUGGGGUAACGGCUCACCAAGGCGACGAUCCGUAGCUGGUUUGAGAGGACGACCAGCCACACUGGGACUGGAGAGCUGGAUGGCCCAGACUCUACGGGAGGCAGCAGUGGGGAAUUUUGGAUACCGGGGGAAACCCCUGAUCCAGCCAUCCCGCGUGUGCGAUGAAGGCCUUCGGGUUGUAAAGCACUUUUGGCAGGAAAGAAACGGCAUCGAUAAUACCCCGUGCAACUGACGGUACCUGCAGAAUGAAGCACUGGCUAACUACGUGCCAGCAGCCGCGGUAAUACUGUAGGGUGCAAGCGUUAAUCGGAAUUACCGGCGUAAAGCGCAGCAGGCGGCUCGGAAAGAAAGAUGUGAAAUCCCAGAGCUUCUUAACUUUGGAACUGCAUUUUUAACUACCGAGCUAGAGUGUGUCAGAGGGGAGGUGGAAUUCCGCGUGUAGCAGUGAAAUGCGUAGAUAUGGAGGAACACCGAUGGGCAAAGGCAGCCUCUGGGAUAACACUGACGCUCAUGCACGAAAGCGUGGGGAGCAAACAGGAUUAGAUACCCUGGUAAUCAAUGUGGCCCUAAACGAUGUCAACUAGCUGUUGUGGCCUCAGCCGGUGGCGCAGCUAACGCGUGAAGUUGACCGCCUGGGGAGUACGGUCGCAAGAUUAAAACUCAAAGGAAUUGACGGGGACUCCGCACAAGCGGUGGAUGAUGUGGAUUGAAUUCGAUGCAACGCGAAAACCUUACCUACCCUUGACAUGUCUGGAAUCCUGAAGAGAUUUGGGAGUGCUCGCAAGAGAACCGGAACACAGGUGCUGUAUGGCUGUCGUCAGCUUCGUAAGCCGAGAUGUUGGGUUAAGUCCCGCAACGAAAUGCAACCCUUGUCAUUAGUUGCUACGAAAGGGCACUCUAAUGAGACUGCCGGUACAAAACCGGAGGAAGGUGUGGAUGACGCUGAGUCUCAUGGCUCUAUGGGUAGGGCUUCACACGUCAUACAAUGGUCGGACGAGGGUCGCCAACCCGCGAGGUGGGAGCCAAUCCCAGAAACCCGAUCGUAGUCCGAUCGCAGUCUGCAACUCGACUGCGUGAAGUCGGAAUCGCUAAAAAUUCGUGAUCAGCAUGUCGCGGUGAAUACGUUCCCGGGUCUUGUACACACCGCCCGUCACACCAUGGGAGUGGGUUUUACCAGAAGUAGUUAGCCUAACUGCGAGGGCGAUUACCACGGUAGGAUUCAUGACUGGGGUGGAAGUCGUAACAAGGUAACU
rnacentral:rRNA from 1 species